UUAUAGAGUUUGAUCCUGGCUCAGAACGAACGCUGGCGGCAGGCUUAACACAUGCAAGUCGAGCGCCCCGCAAGGGGAGCGGCAGACGGGUGAGUAACGCGUGGGAACGUACCUUUUGCUACGGAAUAACUCAGGGAAACUUGUGCUAAUACCGUAUGUGCCCGAAAGGGGAAAGAUUUAUCGGCAAAGGAUCGGCCCGCGUUGGAUUAGCUAGUUGGUGAGGUAAAGGCUCACCAAGGCGACGAUCCAUAGCUGGUCUGAGAGGAUGAUCAGCCACACUGGGACUGAGACACGGCCCAGACUCCUACGGGAGGCAGCAGUGGGGAAUAUUGGACAAUGGGCGCAAGCCUGAUCCAGCCAUNCCGCGUGAGUGAUGAAGGCCCUAGGGUUGUAAAGCUCUUUCACCG
rnacentral:rRNA from 1 species